UACGUAGGGGGCUAGCGUUAUCCGGGAUUACUGGGCGUAAAGGGUGCGUAGGUGGUUUCUUAAGUCAGAGGUGAAAGGCUACGGCUCAACCGUAGUAAGCCUUUGAAACUGGGGAACUUGAGUGCAGGAGAGGAGAGUGGAAUUCCUAGUGUAGCGGUGAAAUGCGUAGAUAUUAGGAGGAACACCAGUUGCGAAGGCGGCUCUCUGGACUGUAACUGACACUGAGGCACGAAAGCGUGGGGAGCAAACAGG
rnacentral:rRNA from 1 species